AAUAUAUUAUUGUAUGUAUACUCUCGUAUAAUGUCCUGUUCGUGUGGUAGACUGAGAAACGAAAAUAAUCAUUAGGUAUAUAUUUUAUACGGAUAAUUGAACGCGUUUUGACUGGUCCAAAGACAAAAAAUAAAAUAAUCUGGCAAUAAAUAUCAACAUGUAGUCGUAUAGCUAUUAUAGGCCUGCGGCCAUAUUAUUUCGAAGUCGUUAUAAUAUCGUGCAGCCCUCGUG